GAACCUAAUUUACCAGGAAAGGAUACACAUGGACGGAAUUUCAAUGAAAAUGCAUCAGAUUCUGGUAUCAGGUGAGUGAGUGUUUGAUAGGGGUGCCAAUCCUGAGCCCUCACCAGUAGGCCCGACUGAUCCUGACUCACUUAAGGCCCGACCUGAACCGGCCCAUUUAAUAAACGUGUCGGGCUUCUGCCCAACCCGUUUAAUAAACGUGUCGGGCUUCUGCCCAACCCGUUUAAUAAACGUGUCAGGCUUUAGCCCGGCUCGUUUAUUAAACAAGCAUUCACGAUGCAGGCCACUAGCCCGUCGAGCGCUCGAUCGACCUGACUCACUUAAGAAGCCCGUUAAAACUGACUCAUUUAGCCUGACCGGCCCAACCCCCUUAAAAAAUGCCUAAAUACCUAUUUUACCACUAAUACUACAAAAUAUGAGUGAAGAAUAUAUAGGACUAAAAUAUCCAUAUUCUAAAUGGGACACUCAAUUGUUAAAAAGAGUGUAAUUCUUGCAACUUAGAUUACAUUUUAAAGACAUGAUUCCCUUGGUUCCGGAAUUGUGAAUGUUAUCCUCUAGUAGUUUAAAAGCCAAUAGUUUAAUCCAUUUAAAAAAUGAUUUUAGGGUAGGCACGCUUAGAGCCCGUCUAGAAUUAAAUAGGUCCAUAGCUCGUUUAAGGCCCGUAUAAGGCCCGUUGAAGGUAGCCCAAUUAAAGCCCGAUACCUACCGGCCCGAUUAUAAACCCUACCAUGCCCCCCAAAUCUAGGCCCAUUUAAGUAAACGGGCGUUCAUGGUGCAAGGAUUUCACACCGUCAGGCCCAGUUAGGACCGAUCGAGACCGGCCCGGCUGGAUUGAUUGACACCCCUAGUGUUUGAUUUCUUUUACGGAGUAUUUUGAUAUUUUCAUUUAUGCAUGCUUAUGUGAAAUGUGAUGAAUGUUGUGUUAUGGAUUUAUUUUAUAUAAAAAUAUAUAAAUUUCACAUGUUCCAUGAUUUUAUCGACUGUGAUGUGAUGUGAUUCGAGGUUUUGUGGAUGUGUAACAUGAUAGCUGUGUGAUGAUGGUGGUAAUAUUGUCGAUCUAAGGCACAGUGUGGCUAAGGUUCUUUCCAGUACCAUGGACUUAGAGGUCAGUAUUACAGUUGUGAUCACGGAUUUGUGAUUGGAUAUCAUGGAUGAUAUGGAUGUUAUGGAUGCAUGUAGAUGCAUAUGGAUAGGAUCACAUCCCAGUACUAUAACCCCUUGUCAAUAGGGGAUAAGGUAUUGACUAAUCCCACUCAGUGGUAGAUCGCGGAGGACUACUACGCUCGAGUACGAUGUAUUGUAUCCUUAGAGGGCACAGUAUGGUACGACGUAUUGUGCACAUGACUGUCGAACAGCAUGGGGGCUUGAUGACGGUGUGGGAUUCUGGGACCAUGACUGUUAGGGGUUACUAUUUAGGGGUUGGCUGGGGGACCAAGGUUCUUUUCGGGACUGGCUGACUCCUACUUGUAGCUAGCUUGCAUCUCUGAGGCCUGACAUACUGGGAAGGGGAUGCCACCUAUACUGCUCAUAGUACUUAUACCCAUACAUACUGAGACUUAGUAAUUAGAAUAGAUAUUUAUAAUUAAAAUGGAUCAUGUGGUUGUGCAUCUGUGAUUUGACUGAGAAAGUGUGUUGGUUUCAUGUUGUUGUGUGUGCUUGCAUACUCACCUCUCACUGAGCUUGUGAAGCUCACUCUUCGUUAAUAGUGUUUUUAGAUGGUGGAACCGAUGCUGAGGCAAGAUUGGAUUUCAGCGGCGGUUGUGAGACUUGUGUCUAUGAGACACUAGGUUGCUAAUUGAUUUCACUACUGUUAUUUAGUAAUUUCUUUUGAUGUAUAUAUUGAUAUCAUAUGUAAGAGGUAAAUAUUAAACUUGUGGGUUGUUAACCAAUGAAAUUUGUAUGUUGUAAUUUAUCACUUUAGUAAAUCACCAGUGAUAUUUGUAUGAUUUAUUAGCGUACUCUGAUUUUAGAAUGUGAUCUUGACAGCAUUUGUGAAAUUAAGGUACUGCUUCUAUGAUCCUGGAGAAUUAGAUUGACUAGAUGUGGGUGUCUAGUGCUACAUACCUUGGCUAGUUAGUGGCAAGGUGUGACAAAAUGAUAUUAGAGCAUGAAGCUCUACCUUAAUUCACAAAUGCACAAGAUCUUAAGAUAUACUAGUGAUGAUUAGGAUUAAAUUUAAAAUCUUCAAGAUAAGUGGACAAAUUUUAAUACACACCAUAGGAGACUAGCCUUGGUGCAAAAGUCAUCCACUGACAAUAAUUUAAAGUGCAUAACUUUUAUAUAUAGUUGGACAAAUAAAAUGUAACAAGAUAAGAAUAACUGAAAUUAAAUAAGUAUAACUAUAUUACAAGUUAGGAUUUGGGAAUUAAAUUGGUGUCGAUUGGUGUCAUCUGCCAGUGGAUUAAGCAGAUGAAUCUCUUCUACCAUUAUUUUUCUAUUACCACUGUGUAUGAGUUGUAUAAUUGUGUAGUCAUAUGGUAUGUAUAAAUCAUUUGGGAAUUAAUUGGUCUGUUCAUUUCAUAAAAAAAUUUCCAAAUAUCGAAGCGUGCCUAUCCCUAAGAUGACCCACAACUAUAGAGGCAUAGUCGCACUCCUAGGGCAAAUCCUAACCCUCCACAUGAAUCUGAACAUGAGGGUGAAGAUGAGGUAACAGUUACAUCACCUGUGCCACCUCCUACACCACCUGUGAUGAUGACUCGAGAUGUGGUUGCCAUGGUCAGUGAUGUGACACAAGGCAUCCAACAAAACCUUUAACAACAGUAAAGAGAAGUCAAACAACGGCAUAAGGACAUGAUGACUGAGAUAGCCACAACUAUCCAUGCUAGGGAGACACCUAUGGUACAACCCCCCUAGUUCGCAGUCUACACCAUCUGCUCUUGCUCCUACACCACCUAUUGCACCAGGAGUUUUAGUUAUUGCACAACCAGCCACUAGUCAGUCAUCUCAAGUAGUACCAGUACUAUUGACACCCCCUGGGUAGCAAACACCAAACACAUAAUUAGUUGCACCAAUGUGGAUGGAGAAAUUCCAAAACCACAGGCCUCCUUACUUUAGCAGUGUGGCUCAAGAACCAUUAGCACUAGCUAAAUGGGUUGAAUGUGUGAAAAAGGCAUUUAUGAUGCUGGGUUACACUGAUGAACAGAAAAUAAUUUGUGCCAGCUACCAGUUGCAAGAUGAAGCCUAUGCAUGGUGGAAAGCCACAAAGCCCAUAUUGACAGCUACUCGUCCUAAUCCUACUUAGAAUCAAUUUGUUGAGGCUUUCUAUAUGAACUACUUCCCAAAGAGUAUGAGGGACAAAAAGGAGGUAGAGUUCAUGGCUCUAACUCAAGGGCCAAAAUCUGUUCUUGAAUAUAAGCAGAAGUUUGAAGAGUUGUACUAUUUUGAUCUAGAGCAUUUGAAAUCAGACAGAGCCAAGGCCAAGAAGUUAGAAAAUGGUCUAAGGCCAAGGAUUAGUGCAUUAUUAGUGGCACACUAGUUGCAGACCUAUGCAAAGGUGGUUUAAACAGCCAAGUCUAUAGAAGACAAACAGAGAAAAAAUUCUAAAGCUUAAGCAGUAAGGAGAAUAAACACAUCAUUCGGUGGGAGAGGUUUCACUAGAGCAGUUGAAGUACACUACACUACUCCGACUACACCCCAAUUCACCAGACUAGAAGUUGGCCAAGUAUCACAACACCCUCAGCCAGCAGUAGUGGUACCUUAGCAAUGGGUUCACCUCAGCGUUUCUGGUGUAAUCAAUUUGGCCAUAUGGCUAGAUCAUGUCCGCAGCAAAAGCAGUACUUUGUGUGUAACCAGCUUGGGCAUUUGGUCAUGUAUUUCUCUUAGGCAAUGUCAGAAGACGAUAUGAAUCCCUCAACAUCAGCAGCUGGUCAACCAGUUCAUAUGCAACAAGGUAUCAAAAUGCAAGAAGGAGCAUUAGCAAAUGACAGUGAAAGAGAACAAGAAUACAACUGAGGAAGUCAAAGGUAGUGGAUAUGGAUGAAAUUUUCAUAUUAUUGCUGAACAUCUGAUGUAUCCCAUCUAUUUAACGCUAUCCUGUGCAUUAUUGGAAUUUGAUGCACCCCUUUGUUGUAUUAUUAUUGCCUGUUGCUAAACUGCAUAAGUUAAAGAGUCUGGCACACAAGAUUAUAGUCAGUAUCCUACUAGUGGGGAUACGAGUUACUAUGUUCCAUCCACAUACUUGGACGGAACUUGAUAACUCAAUUGAGCAAGUUCGAUUUGAAGGAGAUCGAUGGCUAUGCUGGACAUGGAAUGGCUACUCGCCUACAGAGCUUGUGUGCGAUGUGCAAACUUACUACCCUAGAAAGUAAGGUGAAGAAGUCUGAAAAUGUGGUGAUGUCAGUAUCUAAGGUGAAGAAUAUGCUAAGCAAGGGUUGUGAAGCAAGCCUGGACUUCGUAAUGUCCUAAACUUGAAGGCUACACCAUGAGUGUAGAAUUUAUAGAAAUAAGGAUAGAGCGGUGUCAGUAUUAAAAUAUAUUUAUUCCAAUUGACACUGCCCAAGUAAUAAAAUACAAUGAUUCUAGACACAACCCUUUGUUUUACUAACUAUCCUUGAGUCGUGAAAGGGCAAGAUGAGUUCAUCUACAAUUACCAUUGAUCAGAAGUGGUAGUCAAGGCGACCUCAGUCAUAAGUACCAAAAAGGCAAAUGAAGUAGUACGAGUGUUCUCCCCUAUAAAGAAGAGAGAAUGGUAACGAAAAGCUGAUACCUAAAUAUUGUGCCACAAAAUAGAUCCAACAUUGCUACUGGAUCAGAACAAGGUCAGUAUCAGGAAUGUGGAAUAGUGAGAAUGAUAACGGAUUAAAGUGAGGAGACCUGAGAUUGAGUUGUAUGGGUGAUUUAAGGGUAAGGAAAAAAAUAUUAUUAUUAGGUAAGAAUGUGAGGAAACAUUGUUGACCAUUAAGGAUCUGGAUUAUAUGAUCAUUUAAUAUAUGUCUGAAUAUGUGAAGAAAGCAUAUGAAAGUUAAAGCAUGAUAACUGGAAUUGUGAAGUUUUAAAUUUUAAAUUAGAGUGAACUGUGGAUAAUGGAAUAUUCGAAGAAUAUCGGAAAUAUUUAGUAUGCUUGAAUGUAGUGAAAGGUCAAGCAGUGUGAAUGAGGGUAUGGAAGUUUGAUUUCAUAAGAGAAAUAAAUAAUACACUAAGUAUGUGUAUAUGUAUAAUGAAAUAAAGUAGGAAUCCCCGACAAAUUGUGAAGCCAAGUAAAAGAUGGGAUAUUAUCUUGGGUAUUUGAUGGAAGCUUUAAAAUAAAAAUAAAACAAAAGGGGUUAUACUAUAAAUAUGAUUAAUAGUUUGAUUUGGGAGAAAUGAUAUGGAGAUGGAAUCUGCAAGUAUGGUUCUCAUGGAAUGAAGAGGGUGAAAUGGUGGAUCAACUAAUACAGAACUAGUGUGAAGUUCUAGGACUUUGUAAUUAUGUACAAAGAGAUCAGACCUGAGUACCCUGGUAAAGAUACAUGGGCGAGAUGGAAAUAAUAUGUACAUGUACGAAGAUAUAACAUGGUUGAUAAUGGAAAGUGAGAAGUAGAGAGGCAUGUUGAUUUUGAAGUUCUCGAGGGAUUAAGAACAUAAAUGGAUAAAAGACCAGUAUGGCCAAUGGAUGUGUUAAUGUGUUAUUGAGAUCAGCCAAUACAACAAGUCACAUAUGGCCAUGUUAGCAACACUGAAUGGAAAUGUGAUAUUGCAACUCAGUGGAUAAGAGUGGUAGUAAAGUGAAUGGGACUGAUCCUCGAAGAUGAGCAACUCCACAAAUUUUGAGGAAUAAAUUUUUGUAAGGAGGGGGAAAUUGUAACACCUUGAAAUUUGAGGUAAUUGAGUCCAAGGGUAUGGCAUAGCUCAUAAUAUGAAGUAGGCUACUCUGCUAUGAACUGAAUGUAAAAAAAAAGUUUUUUUUAUGUGGGGCCCACCUCUCUAUAGGCCAACUCAUUAUGUCUACCCCAUGCGUAGGGGUCUACUUGCCGAGUGUAACCCAUGUUUAAGGUUAGUAUUUGGUGUGGUCCAUUAAAGGGAAUUAAAGUUUAAAUAGUUUUAUUUUUUCAAAAGUAGUUUUCAAAAUUAAUUUUAGAAAUUAAGCAAUUUAGCCAAACAGACCCUAAGGCCUAUUUUGGCUUUCAAUAUAAGGGAUAGGGCGGUGGUGUUCUCCUCAUUUUCUUGCUGCCCAAUUCGGUGGAACAACAACAAGAGAAGAAGAAGAAUAAGAGGAAGAAGAAGAAGAAGAAGGAGAAGAGAAGAGGAGAAGAAGAGGAAGGGAGAAGGAGCUGCUGUCCGAAUCCUCCUGCUGCCCUAUGGUUCCCUGUAGCUGUAAAACAGAGAGAGAUGCAUGCAAGUGGGGCUGGAUACAACUUUUGUCCAUCUGAUGCUGAGCAAUAAACUGUAGUCUGGGAUGAUUUCUGCUGAACCAUAGAAGCUAUUGUUCCUAGUUUAUUUAUAGCUGUUGUACACAUCUGAGGUAAAAAUUCAUCCUUUAAUUUAUUUACAGUACCUAGACUUGAAUUAGGAAGGGUAUUCACCUUGGUUCCCAAGCAUACAGCCACCCAGAAUUGGGAAAUUUGGACUUCACGCAAGGGAACUUAGCUGAUUUCUGUUAUAGAGAAUAAAUUGAUAUAUAAUUCCUGCAGUACCUGUAAAUUUAAGGUAAGAAACGAUUCUAUAAUGGCUGUAGUAUGUUAGGUUUAUGGUUGCAUGUGUAAUUGUGAGAUGGAAUUGAGUUCUUAAAUUCGGUUUUAAUUCCCUGCAACUGCAUCCUUGGUUUCAGAGUGGGUUUAGGGACCCAAUUUGACUCUGACCCAUCUCUGGGAACCCUACAUGUUAGGGCUUUUGCCAUGCAAGUAAAAUUUUAUGAAAUUGGAGUUGAAAUGGUGGUAUGCAUGCAACUGAUUUUAAUGUUUGUAGCUUAGACAUACUGCUGCUGUAUUUUACAAGGUGAAUUGGGAAGAAAUUGCUCAAUUGUCCGCUGCAACUGAUGAAUUGUCCCACCUGAGCUCAAUUGGAACUGAAGAAUGGUAUUGCGAUGUAUCUUGUAAUUCCUCAGCCCCAUAUGAGUGAUAAAAUGGAUGGGAAUGUCCCGAUUGGGUGAUGUGGAUAUGAAGGUAAUCAAAUUGGGGCUAAAUUAAUAUAAUUUUCAUUCUUGGAUUAUGAAUGACUAAAUGAUUUUAUUGUGGGAAUUUAGUUGGAGCUAAGACCAGACUUAUGCUACUAUAUUCAAGUAAAUUCAGCUCCAAUUAAAUUUUUGAUAUUUAAAUUAGGAAAAUUUCUAAUAUUUAAAUUAUAUGGAUUAGGCAUGCAAAUUUGGAAGAAAUUAGGAAGUGUAUCGGAAUGGAAUUUUGAUUUCUAUAACUGAUGGCUUUAGGGGCUGUAAAAUGACAUUAAAGACCCUAUAACACCUUCCCCAUGUUGCCAUGGUCAAUACCCAUCGGCCAUGAGCAGCCCAAGCCAGGGAAACUGGCAGAAUAGCCUCUAAAAGUGCGAAAUUUCUGCAAAUUGUCUCCCAGCUGGUGGGCAAGCAGCCAUUUGUCUCCCACUAGUUGGGGUGUUUUAAACCCAAUCAGCCCCUGAUUUGGCUGGUUAGUACCCUACCCCUGGUGGGUUAUGUCCCUUAUCUUUUUACCCAAAUUAACCCUAAGGGCAGGGGUAGUUCGAGGGGCUUUUCCGAGACUUUAAUUUAGGUUAGUAUGUGGGUUGUUGAGGGUUGUUAUGUUUAGAAUAGAACCUACACUAAGUUGUGUUAGGACUUAUAAAUAUUUAAUAUGAUGGUACAUAAUUCACAUAGGAACCUAAUUUACCCGGCGAGGAUACAUGUGGAGGGGAAUUCAACGAAAAUGCAUUAGAUUCGGGUAUUAGGUGAGUGGGUGUUUGAUUCUUUUACAGAGUAUUUUGAUAUUUUCAUUUAUGCAUGCUCAUGUGAAAUGUGAUGAAUUCUAUGUUAUGGAUUUAUUUUAUAUAAAAAUAUAUAAAUUUCACAUGUUGCAUGAUUUUACCGACUGUGAUAUGAUAUGAUUCGAGGUUUUGUGGAUGUAUAGCAUGAUAGCUGUAUGAUGAUGAUUGUAAUAUUGUCGAUCUGAAACAUGGUGUGGCUAAGGUUCUUUUCGGUACCGUGGGCUCAAAGGUUAGUAUUACAGUUGUGAUCACGGAUGUGUGAUUGGAUGUUAUGGAUGCAUGUAGAUGCAUAUGGUUAGGAUCACAUUCUAGUACUAUAAUCCCUUGCCAAUAGGGGUAAGUUAUUGGAUAAUCCCACUUGGUGGUGGAUCGUGGAGGACUGUUAUGCUCGGGUAUGAUGUACUGUAUCCUUAGAGGGCACAAUAUAGUAUGACGUACUGUGCGCAUGACUGUCGGACAGCAUGGGGGUCCAAUGACAGGGUGGGAUUCCGGGACCAUGGCUAUCAGGGGUUUAGGAGUUGGCUGGGGGACCGAGGUUCUUUCUGGGACUAGCUAACUCCUGCUUGCAGUGAGCUUGCAUCUUUGAGGCCCGACGUACAGGGAAGGGGGUGUCACCUAUGCUGCUUAUAGCACUUAUACCCAUACAUACUUAGACUUAGCAAUUAGAAUGGAUAUUUAUAAUUAAAAUGGAUCAUGCGGCUCUGCAUCUGUGAUUUGACUGAGAGAGUGUUGGUUUCAUGUUGUUGUAUGUACUUGCAUACUCACCCCUCACUGGGCUUGUGAAGCUCACCCCUCUUUGAUUACUAUCUUUAGAUGUGGAACCAGUGCUGAGGCAAGAUUGGAUUUCAGCGGCGGUUGUGAGGCUUGUGUCUACGAGACACCAGCAUUUGUGAAUUUAAGGUACUGCUUCUGUGAUCUUGGAGGAUUAGGUUGACUGGAUGUGAGUGUCUAGUGCUGCAUACCUUGGCUAGUUAGUGGCAGGGUGUGAUAGAAGGGGCCUAUGCUACUGGAUUUUUGUAGGUGGGCCUCCCUCCUUUAUUUUAUUGGAUUUUGUUGAAGGUUUGCCUAUUUCUCCUGUAAAAUAUAGGAUUAUGGUUGUAGUUGAUCACCUUUCUAAAUAUGGGCAUUUUAUUUCUUUUUCAAAUUUAUAUGCGACUCAGUCAAUAGCGAAGGUCUUCUUUGAUAAUAUUUUCAAGCUACAUGGUAUGCCAAAUUCUAUUGUUUCAGAUAAGGAUCCAUUUUUUACAAGUGCCUUUUGGAAGGAGUUUUUCAAGUUGAAGGGAAGCCAAUUGAGCAUGAGUUCAGCCUAUCAUCCUCAAUUAGAUGGUCAAACUGAAGUGUUGAAUCGAUGCCCAUAAAAUUAUUUGAGAUGCUUUGCAGGAUCUAAGUCGAGGAGUUGGGUGAAUUGGCUUCCACUAGCAGAAUGGUGGUAUAAUACAAGUCACCACUCUGCUAUUAAGAUGACUCCUUAUGAAGCUCUCUAUGGAGUGGACACCUUCAUUGUUAUCUUACAUUCCUGGGUCCAGCAAAGUCCAAUAUGGUUAGAAAGAAUUGAGGGACAAAGACACAAAUCUCUAGUUGCUUAAGGAGAAUCUACGAUCAGCUUAGGAGAGAAUGAAAAAUUUCACAAACACGCAUAGGUCGGAGAGGUCUUUUGAAGUGGGAGACUUGGUAUAUCCCAAAUCGCAGCCUUAUCGUCAAAUGUCCAUGAUUGUAUGAAGAUUCAUGAAGCUGGCGGCUAGCUAAUGGCCUAUACAAGGUUAUCCGAAGAAUAGGAUCAGUUGCCUAUAAGCUGGACUUACCUGUUGGCUGCAAGAUUCACCCAGUCUUUAAUGUGUCUCAGUUGAAAAAGAAUUAGGAGAUUCAGUUCAGCCAAGUUCAACCUCGCCUCCUUUAAAUGAAUAUGGCACUAUUCAACUUUAUCCUAAAGUUAUUUUAGGUAGAAGGUUGGUUAAACAUGACAAUGUUGCAGACGUUGAUGCAUUGGUUCAAUGGCAGGGCGCUUCAGAGGAUGAUGCUACUUGGGAACAUAAGAAAUGGAUAGAAAAAAAAUUUCCUGGAAUCGACCUUUUGAACAAGGAUAGUUUAAGGGGAGGGGAGUGAUGUGUUUUUUUCGUUAUAGGAAUUGAGCCAUGCCAUCUUAGGAUUAUAUCUCAUGGUGGGUAGUUUUUAGCAAGAGUCCUAGUCUUGUGGUUAGUAUGAAUACGAAAGACAUUGUAAUUGCUAGUUUAUAGGGAUUUGCUACUUUGUAGAGAUUGGGGAUUUCUUCCCAUUGGAAUUGGAGUUGUAUUUAAGCUCAAUUAUCGUGAAUGAAGGCAUGACUAUUUUCCAGAA